rnacentral:rRNA from 1 species
GGCCAACCCUAUGGGAGGCAGCCGUCGAAGGUGGGUUGAAUGAUUGGGGUGAAGUCGUAACAAGGUAGCCGUAUCGGAAGGUGCGGCUGGAUCACCUCCUUUCUAAGGA